rnacentral:rRNA from 1 species
GAUGAACGCUGGCGGCGUGCUUAACACAUGCAAGUCGAACGGAAAGGCCCAAGCUUGCUUGGGUGCUCGAGUGGCGAACGGGUGAGUAACACGUGGGUGAUCUGCCCUGCACUUCGGGAUAAGCCUGGGAAACUGGGUCUAAUACCGGAUAGGACCACAUUUUGGAUGGUGUGGUGGAAAGUUUUUCGGUGUGGGAUGAGCUCGCGGCCUAUCAGCUUGUUGGUGGGGUAAUGGCCUACCAAGGCGUCGACGGGUAGCCGGCCUGAGAGGGUGUACGGCCACAUUGGGACUGAGAUACGGCCCAGACUCCUACGGGAGGCAGCAGUGGGGAAUAUUGCACAAUGGGCGCAAGCCUGAUGUAGCGACGCCGCGUGGGGGAUGACGGCCUUCGGGUUGUAAACUCCUUUCGCUAGGGACGAAGCGCAAGUGACGGUACCUGGAGAAGAAGCACCGGCUAACUACGUG